UGUGGAUGCACCUGGUCCUGUAUGUUUAUGCUAUUCCUUGAUCUCAAUAACCUUUACUAGGCCUACACUUUUUUAACGUUGAUUUUAACAUGUAACAUAAUGGUCAUAACAAUACGAAUAAAACUAAUUGUUUAAAUGAAUAUUACACAAAAACAUAAUAACGCUUUUGAUUCAUGAACAUAUUUGCUUCAGAUAUUUAAACAUUAGAACCGAG
rnacentral:lncRNA from 1 species